ACUACUGACGGCCCAUUUCAGUAUUAGCGCGUUUCCGUAUUAGGUCUGCUGAUUCGGAGGAAUCACGCGGAAGUAGUAAAUUAGACGCAUCAAGUAGUGCAAAUCACCAACCAAAACAGUGACAUUUUGGAAAACUAAUGAAAGUAAAGUGUAUUUUAUUUUAAACAAGAGGACAUGUGCCAGUUCCAUUCCGAUUGUUAGGUUAUUCCGUAGAGGUAGCCUAUAGUCGCUGAAUUGUCAUCAUCAGAUAGAGUUAUGGCAUGCAGCGACUCAAUGGUGUCAAUGAAUGGAACUCAAAAGCUGUAUGAAAGUCUGGAUAACCCUACCCAACCCUACCUCAGGUCACAAACAAGGUUUCCUAUAUUGGACAUGACUGUGAGGACAUCCCAGAGUACCUUGGAGAAAGAUAUGGACUCUUGACAAGACGGCUAGAUCUCAGCUUCAAUCAGCUAAGGUAGGAGAUGAGCUGAGAUGAGUCGUGAAUACUAUCAUGGACACAGUGUUGCCUUGAGUGGUAGUGGUGCCUUAAAUGGUGUAGUGGUGCUGUG
rnacentral:lncRNA from 1 species